UACGUAGGGUCCGAGCGUUGUCCGGAAUUACUGGGCGUAAAGAGCUCGUAGGUGGUUUGUCGCGUUGUCCGUGAAAACUCACAGCUUAACUGUGGGCGUGCGGGCGAUACGGGCAGACUGGAGUACUGCAGGGGAGACUGGAAUUCCUGGUGUAGCGGUGGAAUGCGCAGAUAUCAGGAGGAACACCGGUGGCGAAGGCGGGGUCUUUGGGCAGUAACUGAACGCUGAGGAGGCGAAAA
rnacentral:rRNA from 1 species